rnacentral:lncRNA from 1 species
GUGUUUUGGUCUAAAUCAAGCAGUGCUUAGAGCCUCCCACAACGGGCCUUCAACCAUAUUUGGAAGAAAAGAAGGAAUCCAGAGAGGAAAUGGUUACCUGUGCUUACAGGCGGUCUGCACCACAAGCGCUGACUCAGCAAGAGGGAACUCUGCGUACCCCUGUCCCGAAAGCCCCUUGAGCAAGGACGUCAGAAAGAGACUAAAAUGGAGGGACAGCCUCCGAGGGCCCUGGAGCAGGGUAACAUGAGAUCUAUGACUAUCUAGUCAUUCGCUACCUGCAUUUGAAAGCAUAUGCAUUAUUAUGGUUGUCACCAUUUAUAGUAGUAUACUUAGACGUUGUCCAUCGAAUCUGGACGCAUACUCAAUUUGAAACUAAAUAAAACCUAAAGGAACAUAGGUGACCAUGAGGGACUCCAGGGAACAUUCUCUGGGACGGAACUCUGUGAAGAGUGGAGAAGAGGCCUCUAGGAUCAAGCUAUUCAUCAUGGAUACAGCCUCAGAUCCAGGACCUCCACCCUCUGGUGCAGUAUUUCCAGGAUAUUAGUGGGGGACUGUGGACCAUUCAAGCCUUGGAACAAGUCUAGCCCAACCACUGUCUAACUUUGCUGCUGACGGAAGCCUGACCCAGCCCUGACCUCGUAGACCUUAUAGGAAUAUGUUCUCAGCUCACUGCUCCACAUUUCUGGCCCUGUGACCUCACCAAACAAACACCUGCCUAUCUCAGAGCAUUGUAUCUAUUCAUGUUGAUUUCUGUCUCUUCCUUAUUAGUCUCUUGCACAAACCAUGAACUGGAUGAAAGCAAGAACGGGAUCGUUUGGGUUCUGUGGGUGACAUCAGGA